rnacentral:rRNA from 1 species
AGUGAACGCUGGCGGUAGGCCUAACACAUGCAAGUCGAACGGCAGCACAGUAAGAGCUUGCUCGUACGGGUGGCGAGUGGCGGACGGGUGAGGAAUACAUCGGAAUCUACUUUUUCGUGGGGGAUAACGUAGGGAAACUUACGCUAAUACCGCAUACGACCUACGGGUGAAAGCAUGGGAUCUUCGGACCUUUCGCGAUUGAAUGAGCCGAUGUCGGAUUAGCUAGUUGGCGGGGUAAAGGCCUACCAAGGCGACGAUCCGUAGCUGGUCUGCGAGGAUGAUCAGCCACACUGGCACUGAGACACGGUCCAGACUCCUACGGGAGGCAGCCGUGGGGAAUAUUGGACAAUGGGCGCAAGCCUGAUCCAGCCAUACCGCGUGGGUGAAGAAGGCCUUCGGGUUGUAAAGCCCUUUUGUUGGGAAAGAAAAGCAGCAGGUUAAUACCCCGCUGUUCUGACGGUACCCAAAGAAUAAGCACCGGCUAACUUCGUG